AACCCACAACCCAGGUACAUGCCCUUGAACAGGAAUUGAACCUGAGACCCUUCAGUGCAUGGACUGAUGCUCUAACCAUUGAGAACACUAGCCAGAGCUGAACUUUAUUUUUAUUUACUUUUUUUGAACUUCACUUUAAAAUGACACUUUCUCAGAACUGCCUUCCCUUCCUCUCAAUUCUGCUAUCUCCUUCAAACGUAUCCUGUAUUUUCCUCUCUGUAACACUGAGCACAAUGAAUAUGAUUAUUUUUCCCAUUAGAUUAUAAGGCGAAUAAAUGCUGAGGCUGUUCUUGGCUUCAUCAUCGAGGAUGAUGUUUGGCAUAUAGAAGUAUUUGCAGAUCUACUAAAUCAGAAGCUCUGGAACUGCAGCCCAACAAGGAGUUAACAAGCCCUCCAGGUGAUUCCUGAUGUACACUGAAGUUUGAGAACUACUGCCAUGGAGGUCCAGGCCACGCUCACUUUUUAGCUGAGCCCAUGUUUUAACAAUUAAGAUAAUUAAAAGUUAUGAUAAAA